rnacentral:ncRNA from 2 species
AUUCAGAACUAGGGGUGUCCAAUCAGUUGGGCUGAGAGAGAAACGCGUGAAAGUUUCUUAACCCUCAGGACCUGAUCUGGUUCAUACCAGCGUGGGGAAGUUAGAAUCUACUUGA